UGCGGAGGGUGCAAGCAUUAAUCGGAUUUAUUGGGCGUAAAGGGCGCGUAGGCGGUAUUGUAAGUCAGAUGUGAAAUUCCAGGGCUCAACCCUGGAGCGGCAUUUGAAACUGCAAAGCUAGAGGAUAGGAGGAGAAAACGGAAUUCCACAAGUAGCGGUGAAAUGCGUAGAUAUGUGGAAGAACACCGGUGGCGAAGGCGGUUUCCUAGCUUAUUCCUGACGCUAAUGCGCGAAAGCAAGGGGAUCAAACAGG
rnacentral:rRNA from 1 species